UACGUAGGGUGCAAGCGUUGUCCGGAAUUAUUGGGCGUAAAGAGCUCGUAGGCGGUUUGUCGCGUCUGCUGUGAAAACUCGGGGCUUAACUCCGGGCCUGCAGUGGGUACGGGCAGACUAGAGUGCGGUAGGGGAGACUGGAAUUCCUGGUGUAGCGGUGAAAUGCGCAGAUAUCAGGAGGAACACCGGUGGCGAAGGCGGCUCUCUGGGACGUGACUGACGCUGAGACGCGAAAGCGUGGGGAGCGAACAGG
rnacentral:rRNA from 1 species